GACGGUUGUCCCGGUUUAAGCGUGUAGGUGUGUGUUCCAGGUAAAUCCGGUUCACUUUAACACUGAGGCGUGACGACGAGGCACUACGGUGCUGAAGCAACAAAUGCCCUGCUUCCAGGAAAAGCCUCUAAGCAUCAGGUAACAUCAAAUCGUACCCCAAACCGACACAGGUGGUCAGGUAGAGAAUACCAAGGCGCUUGAGAGAACUCGGGUGAAGGAACUAGGCAAAAUGGUGCCGUAACUUCGGGAGAAGGCACGCUGACACGUAGGUGAAGUGAUUUACUCAUGGAGCUGAAGUCAGUCGAAGAUACCAGCUGGCUGCAACUGUUUAUUAAAAACACAGCACUGUGCAAACACGAAAGUGGACGUAUACGGUGUGACGCCUGCCCGGUGCCGGAAGGUUAAUUGAUGGGGUCAGCGCAAGCGAAGCUCCUGAUCGAAGCCCCGGUAAACGGCGGCCGUAACUAUAACGGUCCUAAGGUAGCGAAAUUCCUUGUCGGGUAAGUUCCGACCUGCACGAAUGGCGUAAUGAUGGCCAGGCUGUCUCCACCCGAGACUCAGUGAAAUUGAACUCGCUGUGAAGAUGCAGUGUACCCGCGGCAAGACGGAAAGACCCCGUGAACCUUUACUAUAGCUUGACACUGAACAUUGAGCCUUGAUGUGUAGGAUAGGUGGGAGGCUUUGAAGUGUGGACGCCAGUCUGCAUGGAGCCGACCUUGAAAUACCACCCUUUAAUGUUUGAUGUUCUAACGUGGACCCGUUACCCGGGUUGCGGACAGUGUCUGGUGGGUAGUUUGACUGGGGCGGUCUCCUCCUAAAGAGUAACGGAGGAGCACGAAGGUUGGCUAAUCCUGGUCGGACAUCAGGAGGUUAGUGCAAUGGCAUAAGCCAGCUUGACUGCGAGCGUGACGGCGCGAGCAGGUGCGAAAGCAGGUCAUAGUGAUCCGGUGGUUCUGAAUGGAAGGGCCAUCGCUCAACGGAUAAAAGGUACUCCGGGGAUAACAGGCUGAUACCGCCCAAGAGUUCAUAUCGACGGCGGUGUUUGGCACCUCGAUGUCGGCUCAUCACAUCCUGGGGCUGAAGUAGGUCCCAAGGGUAUGGCUGUUCGCCAUUUAAAGUGGUACGCGAGCUGGGUUUAGAACGUCGUGAGACAGUUCGGUCCCUAUCUGCCGUGGGCGCUGGAGAACUGAGGGGGGCUGCUCCUAGUACGAGAGGACCGGAGUGGACGCAUCACUGGUGUUCGGGUUGUCAUGCCAAUGGCACUGCCCGGUAGCUAAAUGCGGAAGAGAUAAGUGCUGAAAGCAUCUAAGCACGAAACUUGCCCCGA
rnacentral:rRNA from 2 species